GACAAGAAAUAACAAUACAGGGCGAAUGUCUUGUAAUUGGAAUGAUGGUGACCCAAACCCUCACCAGAGUAGCAAUUGGAGGGCAAGUCUGGUGCCAGCAGCCGCGGUAAUUCCAGCUCCAAUAGCGUAUAUUAAACUUGUUGCAGUUAAAAAGCUCGUAGUUGUAUUUUUGCGUUAGCGGUUUGACCAUUUGGUUGGUUAUUUCGUUUUCGCUUUUGGGAAUUUCCCUUUUUACUUUGAGAAAAUUAGAGUGUUUCAAGCAGACUUUUGUCUUGAAUACUUCAGCAUGGAAUAAUAGAGUAGGACUUUGGUUCUAUUUUGUUGGUUAUUGAACCUUAGUAAUGGUUAAUAGGAACGGUUGGGGGCAUUCGUAUUUAACUGUCAGAGGCAAAAUUCUUAG
rnacentral:rRNA from 1 species